GACGAACGCUGGCGGCGUGCUUAACACAUGCAAGUCGAACGGAAAGGCCCUGCUUUUGUGGGGUGCUCGAGUGGCGAACGGGUGAGUAACACGUGAGUAACCUGCCCUUGACUUUGGGAUAACUUCAGGAAACUGGGGCUAAUACCGGAUAGGAGCUCCUGCUGCAUGGUGGGGGUUGGAAAGUUUCGGCGGUUGGGGAUGGACUCGCGGCUUAUCAGCUUGUUGGUGGGGUAGUGGCUUACCAAGGCUUUGACGGGUAGCCGGCCUGAGAGGGUGACCGGACACAUUGGGACUGAGAUACGGCACAGACUCCUACGGGAGGCAGCAGUGGGGAAUAUUGCAAAAUGGGCGGAAGCCUGAUGCAGCAACGGCGCGUGCGAGAUGACGGCCUUCGGGUUGUAAACCGCUUUCGCCUGUGACGAAGCGUGAGUGACGGUAAUGGGUAAAGAAGCACCGGCUAACUACGUG
rnacentral:rRNA from 1 species